rnacentral:rRNA from 1 species
UACGUAGGAUGCGAGCGUUGUCCGGAAUUAUUGGGCGUAAAGAGAACGUAGGUGGUUAAUUAAGUUCGGUCUUAAAGACCGGGGCUCAACCCCGGGAAUGGACUGAAGACUGGUUGACUAGAGGAUGUUAGAGGACGGUGGAAUUCCCAGUGUAGCGGUGAAAUGCGUAGAUAUUGGGAGGAACACCAGUGGCGAAAGCGGCCGUCUGGAACAUUCCUGACACUGAGGUUCGAAAGCUCGGGGAGCAAACAGG